UACGAAGGGGGCUAGCGUUGUUCGGAAUCACUGGGCGUAAAGCGCACGUAGGCGGAUCUUUAAGUCAGGGGUGAAAUCCCGAGGCUCAACCUCGGAACUGCCUUUGAUACUGGGGAUCUCGAGUCCGGGAGAGGUGAGUGGAACUGCGAGUGUAGAGGUGAAAUUCGUAGAUAUUCGCAAGAACACCAGUGGCGAAGGCGGCUCACUGGCCCGAUACUGACGCUGAGGCACGAAAGCGUGGUGAGCAAACAGG
rnacentral:rRNA from 1 species